ensembl:snoRNA
UCGAUCAAUGAUGACCACUGGUGGCAUAUGAGUCCUGGAUGGUGACUAAGCUGUGGAAGUCUGAGGUCCAC